rnacentral:lncRNA from 1 species
UCAAGAGGAGAAACGAGGAGCUAGAGAGAAAGAGCUUGGAAUUUAAGGUUAGGAGGUAAAGUGAAGCAAGGGUUUGAAUUCUUGACGACUGGAGAUAAGGGGGAUGUUUUCAUUUUUCAUAACUAAGCUAUAAUCUCUUAUUUUCAAUUAUGGGUUUAAGUUCUUUUAUGUUAAUUGUGAUUUUUGUGAAUUUUGAUGAUGAAUUUCGUGC